rnacentral:lncRNA from 1 species
AAGACCUAUUCCUAUAUUUCCGUUUUGCAGGAGGCUGAGAAGGAAUUGAUUCCAGAAAGAUACCACCACUCCUCAGUUAUGAAACCCAAGUGAGACCACAGUAUCCUGACUUCCAGCCUAGAGCUAUCUCUGAUUCAGUAAAUCUCUUCGCAGCAGCAUAUACACUGGGAACGGGAACUCUCACAGGACACACAUACUCAUGAUUGCCAAUAAUAUCUGUGGUCCUUAGCUAUAACGUACUCAACUUGAGGGUGGUGGAAGAUCUCCAUGAAUACUGAAGUUUGAAUUUUAGCUCCAGAACUUAUUUGCUGUGUGUGAACUUGGGUAAGUUUCUCUAUUUCUUUUAACCUCGAUUUCCACAUCUAUUAAGAAAUUACAAAUCACAUACAAAGAGUA